AGUAGGAUAACCGGGUCAAAUGGUGGUUCCAUUUCAAGUUUUUUGAGGAAUCUCCAUACUGUUUUCUAAAGUGAUUUCACCAAUUUGCAGUCCCACCAGCAAU
rnacentral:miRNA from 1 species